AAAGUCAAAUAAAAUCUAGUUAGCAAAACUACAAAAGUAUUUCAAGAAUACUAAAAUAACAUUGGGAUCCAGUCGAAGGCUGGCGUUGUCUGCUUAUUGGCCGUUUUCUUUGGAAGGUGGGGCUUACUCUUCUAGAGUUGCCAUAUUUGGGCGUUCCUCUUUCUCUCUUUCAUUAUAAUAGCAGUGUUCUGUCUCAGCUAUAUAGAGUCUCUGUUUUCACUUAAAGCACACUGAGUAUUGAAUGAAGCAUCUGUCUGUCUGUCUUUCAUGUUGUAGACAGCUGCAGAGAUGAUGCUACUACAGUCUGCCAGAUUCAGAGACUGUAAGAGGAACAAACCCACCGCUGGGACUGUGUGUGUAUGUGUGUGUGUGUGUGUGGAUACACACAUUUACAUUUAAUUCUUUUCCCCUCUACUCUUGGUAACUACAGAUCCGAGAGCUCUUCACAUCGUGUUUCUCUCCUCAUUCUCUCUCUCUGUGUACCGCAGGGACUCGUGCCAUGCUGUGUUGGGUGGCACCCAUGUGCCCUCGUCUGCUGACUCCUACACUUCCAUUCUCCUGCAUCGGCCUCCUGAAGAAGACGAACGGAUGAAAGAUUCAUGAAGGAGGUGAAUGUUGGGGCACAACGAAACGAGCCGCUGCUCCAAACACUCGUCUCUCUUUCACCUGUGGCCCACCAGACGGCAGAACCGGUGUGUGAGCACAGACAGCACCAGAAUAACCCGGCUCUUCCCGUCUGCAGCUGUUCUCUGUAAUGCUGAGGAUCCAGCAGGUGUGUGUAACUCCUCAACAGGUCAUUCAUUUUCAUAUUUACUGACCUGAGCUUCGUUACCGGCUUAUUCCCGUGGCUUUUUGAUUCCUAUUGUUUCUUUGAAAGCAAUUACAGAACAAUAGUAUGUGUAAUUAAAGCAUAAUCAUGUAAUGUGAGGCCACGGCUUCACUCAGAGACAAUUAAAACACACACACGCACACACACACACACACACACACACACACGCAUGCACACACACACAAAGAAAUCGCUCGCUCUUUCAGUUCAGGUGUAAAAAAAGCACCUGUAGGCUUCAUUAACGUACACUAAUGGCGCACGUUUGUGCUUUUCUGAUUCAUAUUGUGUCAAACUCUAGUGUACACAUCUAUUUCGGUCACCUCUGAAUCACAAUGAGCUUGAAAUCUGUGACCGAGGCGUUUUAGCAGCACACAGUUGGGUUAAGUUAAAGCUGCACUUCCGUGUCUAAUCAUCACGUUUACUGAUGACUAAAGAUCCCAGCAGAAGGUGACUAUUAAUAACAGCCCAACAACAGAUAGUGACAGAUAAUAGAUGAGUGUUAUUGGAGUUAAUAAUAAUUGUACUAUUGUUUUUAAAGCAUAUUGUAAAUAAGUGCAAGUUUCCCACAACAACAAAAAGAUCUUCAUUCUAGACGUUUCCAUGACUUUUCCUGCUCUGGAAAUCCAUAUUUUUAAAAUUCCCUAGAUUUUCGUGCUAGUGUUCCUUAAACUGUAUAAAAUAAUAAACAUGGCAAAAUUAUAUUAUUGGUUGCUUGU
ensembl:lncRNA